ACAACUUUGUGAUACGAAGCAGGAAGUAGAGAAACUGAUGAAGAGAAUCAGAUUCAGCUGAUCAGGACUACAAACCUCCAGGGCAGUGGACCAUGGAGGGUUUUCCUCUACGUCCAGGAGAAACGGCCGCUGGGAUGCACGUGGACGCGACACUACUGUACGUAUGAGAAGAGCAGCAAAGCCUUCACCAUGACCAACUUUGAAACCAAAUCAGCUGGCAAACAGAAUGGUCUGGUGGUGAGUCCCUCUGAGAUGUUCAAGCUGAAGUCCUGUAUCCGAAGGAAGACUGACUCCAUCGACAAGCGUUUCUGCUUCGACAUCGAAGUGGUGGAGAGGCAUGGCAUCGUGACUCUCCAGGCUCUGUCUGAGUCCAACAGAAGGCUGUGGCUGGAGGCUAUGGAUGGCAAGGAGCCG